rnacentral:pre_miRNA from 1 species
UCUUGGGGAUGAGCAAAAAAAGUGGUUUCUUGAGAUGGAACCUACUCCUGGUGAAGAUGCUGUUAA